AAGAACAUCCCUCCAUGGCCUCUGCAUCAGCUCCUGCUUCCUGCCCUGCUUGAGUUCUAGUCCUGCAUCCUUUGGUGAUCAAUAGCAAUGUGGAAAGUCUUGUGAUGCACAGGUUUGAAGAGUCUGGAGAGAUGAGGUCACAGCUGGAAGUCACUUUUGAAGAUGGAACCCGGUCUGAGAAACCACCUGCUUCUUCCUUAGUGACUUCGUUCCUGCAGGCAGCCCCCUUCUCCCUCCUUUAAGGUCAACAUGACUCGACUUCAGACAACUGGUCAUCUAAACUGGUUCUAACUGGGCUCCUGCUGGUACUGACCAUCCUCCCCACUGACCAUUUACUCCUAAGACAUCCUCAGAGUGCAGGAGCGCCAGCACUGAUCAUUCUGUGAUAAUGGGGUGAUGUCAUCAGCCAACUUUCUGGGCCAGAACUCAAUUAAAAUUCUCUGGCGUUUGGGGCUAUGACUCAGUUGGUACAGCAUUUGCACUGUGAGCAUAAGAACAUGGAUUUGGAUGCCCAGAACCCGUUAUAAAAUGCCUGAUGAGGUGAUACAUACCUGUACUCC
rnacentral:lncRNA from 1 species